rnacentral:piRNA from 1 species
UAGGCUUCUUGUAGUCUCUUGAGG